UGAGGAAUCUUGGUCAAUGGGCGACAGCCUGAACCAGCCAAGUAGCGUGCAGGAUGGCGGCCCUAUGGGUUGUAAACUGCUUUUAUAUGGGAAUAAAGUGAGGGACGUGUCCCUUAUUGCAUGUACCAUACGAAUAAGGACCGGCUAAUUCCGUGCCAGCAGCCGCGGUAAUACGGAAGGUCCAGGCGUUAUCCGGAUUUAUUGGGUUUAAAGGGAGCGUAGGCUGUUUGUUAAGCGUGUUGUGAAAUGUAAGAGCUCAACUUUUAGAUUGCAGCGCGAACUGGCAGACUUGAGUGCGCACAACGUAGGCGGAAUUCAUGGUGUAGCGGUGAAAUGCUUAGAUAUCAUGACGAACUCCGAUUGCGAAGGCAGCUUACGGGAGCGCAACUGACGCUAAAGCUCGAAGGUGCGGGUAUCGAACAGG
rnacentral:rRNA from 1 species